GCGAUGGAAGCGGCAUCCUUUUGCGGCCGCAGCGCAGCGAAGGCCGUAAAAGAUAAAGCGGACAGCGCGACGGCGC
rnacentral:sRNA from 1 species